rnacentral:lncRNA from 10 species
AGAGGCUGAGGCACAAGAAUCACUUGAACCUGGGAGGCAGAGGCUGCAGUGAGCCGAGAUCAUGCCACUGCACUCCAGCCUGGGCAACAGAGCAAGACUCCAUCUCUCCAGCACAGCAGGCGAGGCCCGGGUUUCACUCUCAGCUCUGCCAUCCCACUGGCCUGCUGCUUCCUCGGCCAUGGAUGAGGGAAUUGCAGACAAUGUCAUCAGUCCACCCAACCUACCCAACAGAUCCCAGGCAUUGAAACAGAAGCAGAACUAUUACCCUCGUUGCACUUUUUUUUAUCAGCUAAUGCUUAAGAAACUUCAAAACUGUUUACUGAAUACAAUCGCUGCUAGACAUUGGGCUUGAAGUUU